rnacentral:misc_RNA from 1 species
GCAAACUUGGUCAUUUAGAGGAAGUAAAAGUCGUAACAAGGUUUCCGUAGGUAAGUUAAAAUCUUCCAUCUUAUAACCCCCAAUGGCCCAUAACAUACUAACUUUUCGCUUUUAGGUGAACCUGCGGAAGGAUCAUUAUCGAGUGUGAACCCCCCCGUAAAAAAGGGGGGUGACCUCCCGUCCUUUGCUUAGCCAUACCCUAUUCCAAUUGGAAGGGGGUUUGCUUUUCAAACCUUUCUGCUUCGGCGGGGUUACCUGCCGAAACAACCUUAAAAUUCUAAGUCAAAAAACGGUUCAGUCCGAGAAAACUUUGAAAAAAGCGAAAACUUUCAACAACGGAUCUCUUGGUUCUGGCAUCGAUGAAGAACGCAGC